rnacentral:rRNA from 1 species
GGAUCAUUAAAAAUUAUCGUGUUCUUUGGAACAUUUGUGCUCGGGACUUCUUCGGGAGUCCUGACGAUCACCCGUAUAUGUGUUUGACUGUGAAUUUUAUUGAAAAAGAAAUAGACAACUUUUAACAAUGGAUCUCUUGGCUCUUGCAACGAUGAAGAACGCAGUAAAGUGCGAUACGUAGUGCGAUUUGCAUGAAUCCGUGAGUCAUCUAAUCUUUGAACGCAACUUGCGCCCCUUGGGGCAUGUCUGUUUGAGAACCGCAUCUUUUCUAACCAGAAAUGGUUGAACUGCACUAUAACAUUUAGGUGUUUUGUGUUAAAUCAAGAAAGAAAAAGCUUGUCUACCGAAGGCGCCCUAAUGUGCUAGAGACUUUUGUCUUGUCAUUAGUGCCUUGGGUGGCAGUUAAACCUACAUUUUGGUCUCAAAUCAGGCAAGACUACCCGCUGAACUUAAGCAUAUCAA